AGUGAACGCUGGCGGUAGGCCUAACACAUGCAAGUCGAACGGCAGCACAGUAAGAGCUUGCUCUUACGGGUGGCGAGUGGCGGACGGGUGAGGAAUACAUCGGAAUCUACUUUUUCGUGGGGGAUAACGUAGGGAAACUUACGCUAAUACCGCAUACGACCUACGGGUGAAAGCAGGGGAUCUUCGGACCUUGCGCGAUUGAAUGAGCCGAUGUCGGAUUAGCUAGUUGGCGGGGUAAAGGCCCACCAAGGCGACGAUCCGUAGCUGGUCUGAGAGGAUGGUCAGGCAACAUGGAACUUGGACACGGUCCAGACUCCUAAGGGGGGCAGCAGGGGGGAAUAUUGGACAAUGGGCGCAAGCCUGAUCCAGCCAUACCGCGUGGGUGAAGAAGGCCUUCGGGUUGUAAAGCCCUUUUGUUGGGAAAGAAAAGCAGCAGGUUAAUACCCCGCUGUUCUGACGGUACCCAAAGAAUAAGCACCGGCUAACUUCGUG
rnacentral:rRNA from 1 species